rnacentral:rRNA from 1 species
AAGUGUUAAGUCUUUAAUUUUGAAUCCUUAGCUUACUUUGUAAAUUAAGGCUAGAUUUAAACAAAAAUUAAAGAUUAAAUUUAGUAUUGAAUGAAACUUUGUUUAUAUAUCGAUAAUGACGAUAUAUAUAUUAUGUCUUGACCAAUUACGUGCCAGCAGUCGCGGUAAUACGUAAGAGACUAGUGUUAUUCAUCUUAAUUAGGUUUAAAGGGUACUCAAACGGUCUGUUUCGCAUAAAAAAGACUAGAGUUAUAUAGAAGAAGGUAGUACCUUAAGUGUAGAGAUUAUAUUUGGUCAUACUCGAGGGACUUAGAAAAGGCGUAGGCAACCUUCUAAGCAAUAACUGACGUUGAAGGACGAAGGCAUAGGUCACGAACAGGAUUAGAUACCCAAGUAGUCUUUGCAGUCAAUGAUGAAUGCCAUAGGUUAGAUAAAAAUUUAGUCUAUAAAUGAAAGUGUAAGCAUUUCACCUCAAGAGUAAUGUGGCAACGCAGGAACUGAAAU